UAAUACGUAGGGUGCGAGCGUUAAUCGGAAUUACUGGGCGUAAAGCGUGCGCAGGCGGUUUGUCAAGUCCGCUGUGAAAGCCCCGGGCUCAACCUGGGAAUGGCAGUGGAAACUAGCGAGCUAGAGUGUGUCAGAGGGGGGUGGAAUUCCACGUGUAGCAGUGAAAUGCGUAGAGAUGUGGAGGAACACCAAUGGCGAAGGCAGCCCCCUGGGAUAACACUGACGCUCAGGCACGAAAGCGUGGGGAGCAAACAGGAUUAGAUACCCUGGUAGUCCACGCCCUAAACGAUGGCAACUAGGUGUUGGGGGAGCAAUCUCUUGGUACCGCAGCUAACGCGUGAAGUUGCCCGCCUGGGGAGUACGGUCGCAAGAUUA
rnacentral:rRNA from 1 species